rnacentral:rRNA from 1 species
UACGAAGGGGCCUAGUGGUGUUCGGAGUUACUGGGCGUAAAGCGCCCGUAGGCGGUCUUGUAAGUCAGAUGUGAAAGCCACGGGCUCAACCCGGGAAGAGCAUUUGAUACUUCGAGGCUUGAGUCCGGGAGAGGAUGGCGGAAUUCCCAGUGUAGAGGUGAAAUUCGUAGAUAUUGGGAAGAACACCGGUGGCGAAGGCGACCAGCUGGACCGGUACUGACGCUGAGGCGCGAAAGCGUGGGGAGCAAACAGG